rnacentral:rRNA from 1 species
GGAAGUAAAAGUCGUAACAAGGUCAUCGUAGGUGAACCUGCGGUGGGAUCAAUAAUAGAUUCGGUGUCGUCUGCAUCAGCAGGCGGCAAUGUCAUCCGCGCAAGCGGAUGGCAGGCAUGCCGGCUGGCUGCUUCUUGUGGCUGGCUGGCUCCACUCGUGCGGACUAUACCCUGAUUUCAGUGGGUGGUGGAUGGCGCGUCUGCGCUGUCCGCCGCCCACGACUACCAUCGUGUGGCCAUGCAAAUGGCCAUCAUCUGGCACUGCUGACUGACACUCUGUCAAAGAUACCAAUGUACACAAUCAUAAUACACACAACUAUACAUGGUGGAUCACUUGGCUCUCGCAUCGAUGAAGAACGCAGCGAAUUGCGAAAAGUAUCGUGACUUGCACCCGCGUGAAUCAUUGAGUUUUCGAACGCACCUUGCGCCCUGUUGUUUCAGCAGGGCAUGUCUGCAUGAGCACCAGCCCAACCCCACAGCCUGCUGGAUUGACGAUGCUUUCGGGCGUCUGAUGUCUGGCGCUGGCUGGAUGGAUGAGCGCUCCAUCUGAGCAUGGGGGGUCUGGGUGGGAUUCCUUCUGGGAUUCCUCCAGGCCUCCCGUUAAGGUGGUCGCUUGAAAGGCAGAGGAUCCCCGGCCCAGGCUUUGCGCCAGGCGCCGGGGGAUGGCUGGAGGAUUGGAUUGGCCGUCGUGUUGACGGGCAGCGGGCGCGGCAGUGCGGCUGGUCUUGCAAAAGGCCAGCGACACUGGCGUGGCUCCCCGCCCUGCGCCGAGACUGCGAGCAUUUGGUUGGGCGCACGCCCACUAUCGUUCUUGCAGUUGCCCGAGGCGCAGAGCAAUGGGGACAUCCGGUGCCUCGAGCGGCAGCCGCGCGCUAUCGGCUGUCUACAGCGGACUGCGUGUCAACGUCUGACUCUUCAUCCACGCGCACCUCGACCAACUGUGACUGUGCGGCAGCAGCGGGAAGUGGUGGCCAGUCGACUCUCUAGGGAGCCGGCCAGCCUCCACCCCCGCGCUCCACACCUAAACCUAUGGUAUCAUGUCAGGCAAGACUACCCGCUGAACUUAAGCAUAUCAAUAAGCGGAGGA